rnacentral:rRNA from 1 species
GCGCCUACGGGAGGCAGCAGUGGGGAAUAUUGCACAAUGGGGGAAACCCUGAUGCAGCGACGCCGCGUGAGUGAAGAAGUAUUUCGGUAUGUAAAGCUCUAUCAGCAGGGAGGAAGAAGGACGGUACCUGAGUAAGAAGCCCCGGCUAACUACGUGCCAGCAGCCGCGGUAAUACGUAGGGGGCAAGCGUUAUCCGGAUUUACUGGGUGUAAAGGGAGCGUAGACGGCGAAGAAAGUCUGAAGUGAAAGCCCGCG